CGACCGGGUGAGUAACACGUAUGCAACCUGCCUGCCACAGCCGGAUAAUCGGGAGAAAUUCCGUCUAAUACGGCAUAAUGCAUCGACGGGACAUCCUGUUGGUGCCAAAGGUUAAUUCCGGUGGCGGAUGGGCAUGCGUCGCAUUAGUUAGACGGCGGGGUGACGGCCCACCGUGGCGACGAUGCGUAGGGGUUCUGAGAGGAAGGCCCCCCGCACUGGGACUGAGACACGGCCCAGGCUCCUACGGAAGGCAGCAG
rnacentral:rRNA from 1 species